rfam:Dothistroma septosporum NZE10 unplaced genomic scaffold DOTSEscaffold_13, whole genome shotgun sequence.
ACAUACGACCAUAGGUUGGUGGAUGCAAGGGAUCCCGUUCGCUCUCCCCUAUUUAAGCACCAAACCGCAAGACUAGUACUACGGUGGGUGACCACGUGGGAAUCCCUUGUGUUGUAUGUU